rnacentral:rRNA from 1 species
AUUGAACGCUGGCGGCAGGCCUAACACAUGCAAGUCGAACGAGUGGCGGACGGGUGAGUAAUGUCUGGGAAACUGCCUGAUGGCGGGGGAUAACUACUGGAAACGGUAGCUAAUACCGCAUACCAUCGGAUGUGCCCAGAUGGGAUUAUCUAGUAUGUGGGGUAACGGCUCACCUAGGCGACGAUCCCUAGCUGGUCGGAGAGGAUGACCAGCCACAAUGGAACUUAGACACGGUCCAGACUCCUACGGGAGGCAGCAGUGGGGAAGAGUGCACAAUGGGCGAAAGACUGAUGCAGCCAUGCCGCGUGUGGGAAGAAGGCCUUCGGGUUGUAAAGUACUUUCAGCGGGGAGGCGUUACCCGCAGAAGAAGCACCGGCUAACUCCGUGCCAGCCGCCGCGGUAAUAC